CAGGAUGAGCGGGCUCUUGGAUAUUCCCAGGCGAAGUGUCCAGGGCGCAGUGGACGCAGUGACCGGAGAGGACAGCGUUCCAGUUGUUGUCGCGCUGCACCGAAGAUCCUUAUUCUUUCUAUUUUGCGAACUAUAACUAGAUGUAGUUCAGGAGAGAUCCACGGAUAAACUAUGCACUCGACGUGAACCUUACUCAGCUGUUUCAUAGCCAAGUGCCUCACUAUUGUGUACAGUGGGGUUUUUCAGCCAGACAUUCUGCACGGAUAAGCACAUUUAGAGACAUCAUCCAAGAAUUUGUGGCUUUGUUUAUUUUUAUUGAAAUUGAUUGAAGUUUAUAGAAUAGCUAUGUGAUAUGUCAUUGGUCAACUGUAUAUAAGUCACUAAUCAGUGGUAUCGGUGUGAUCUGUUUUACACUCGCUGACCCGCUUUCGUGUUGAUCUAAUCUUUCAUUCCAGCUCGUGAUGGAUCUGCUGGAGGAGGACCUGACAUGCCCGAUAUGCUGCUGUCUUUUCGAGGACCCACGUGUGCUGCCGUGUUCACACAGUUUCUGCAGGAAGUGUUUGGAGGGCAUCCUGGAUGAUAACCGAAGUCCGGUGUGGAGACCUCCGUUCAAAUGCCCGACGUGCCGAAAGGAGACCCCGCACAACGGCAUCUCGAGCCUGCAAGUUAAUUAUUCCCUGCGCAGCAUCGUGGAGAAGUACAACAAGAUCCGUGCGAACCCAAGAAUGUCUCAGUGUCGCGCUCACAGCGGGCAGCCUUUAAACAUCUUCUGCGCCAUUGACCUGAAGCUCAUCUGCGGCUUUUGCGCCACUACAGGAGAACACAAAGGGCACAAGUUCUGCGCGCUGGAGGAGGCGUACGAGCGAGAAAAGGUCGCCUUCGAGGACUUGUUUCGUGCCGUAGAGAGCUGGAAAGGCGCUGAGGUGCUCUCCUGUCUGGAAGCGCUCGAGGCGGCGAAGAAAAAAGCGCUGCAGAUGGCCUCGAGAGAUGUGGACCGGGUCGCGGAGUAUUUCGACAAGCUACUCCGCGCGCUCGAACACAAGCGCAGCGAGAUCCUCUCGGACUUCGAAAGCCUAAAGCUGGCGGUCAUGCAAACCUUCGACCCGGAGAUCAACCAGCUCCGCUCGGCGCUUGAGGAACAGCAGCGCGCGCUGCGCCUUGCCGAGUCAUUUCGCUCCCUUUCCGACCCGCUUACCUUCUUGCAGUGCAUGCAGGACUUCCGCGAGAAGGUGCGCGCCAUUCGUGAGACGCCGCUUCCCGCGCGCACGGACGUGGACGUUGGUGCGCUCGUGCCAAGCUUCGACGUGCACGAGUGGGACCGUGUGCGUCUGGGAGACGUGGACGCGCUGCGCGCUCCGCACGAGGGUGGCGCUCUCCGGUCGCCGAUGGCUCGCAUUGGCCCGCCGCGUUUCUUCCGGAGCCUGUGGAGUUGCGCCGUUCUGGUGUGCGCGUGCCUGUGCCUGCCCAACUUUCUGCCCUCGGACUGUUUCGGCGCGAGUCUCUCCGGUAAAGCGGCGUCCGCUCUUGCCGCCGUCUCCGUGCCCGCGCCUGCAGAAAUGCUGCGGUGGAUCACGCUCUGCUGGCACGAGGUGACGGGAGUGUGCGCGCUCCUUACUGAGCUCUGCAGGAACUGCGUUACUGAGCUCAUCGACACCACGUCAGAGUUUAUCAGCUGAUUUCAACCCGGUGGACUUUUUCUCCUUUACCCUCUGAAGCUGAGGUGCACGGAUGCGUUUCAACUCAGUUUCCGCUCUUUACCGCACAAUUGUUUACCUUUAAUCAGAGAUUACUGCUGAAGAAGCUGGACUGGUCACUGCCGGACGGACGAACUCCGGUAGCGGUGAGUCAGCCGAAGCAAUGCUGCUUACUCAACCCAAGUCAGGACAAAGAUCUCGCGCUGCUCGGUGACUUCUUGCUUCAGCAGCACGAGCAUACUGGAGACAUCUGUCAUGGUGUAACUCCAAUAUUUACAUGCUGCUAAAGCACGACAACACACUCCCACACGUGUGGUGCAUGUCCAAGGCACUGAUGCUGCAGCACAGUACGGCCUGCAUCUCUGUAUCUCCACAAACCAUUCUGUGCUGCUACACCACCACCUGAAGAGCAUAUCUCUUUCUCUCUCUCAUACACACACACACACACAGCUUGAAAGAUGGAAACUCCCCUUUCUUGUUGGCUUUUUGCUUCACCACAGGACUCCCGGUACUCCAUCUGAAAAGCAGGAGAGAAAAAUCCUUGAAUGACAUGCUGAACAGAAACUGGACAAUUCUCUCUGAAGUACCAUGGGGAAACCGCUCCAUCAUAGAGAAUGGAUCAACACUGCUGAGGAGUGACCAGUAGGCAACACCACCUUCGAUAAGCUCCCGGGCCAGCCGUUCAACCGGUCACAAAGUGACCUUCAACUGCAGCCCUUUACAGUUCCAACUGACUGAUCAAUGAUUCUUCCCCGCACUACUAAUAUCUAUUACUGACAAGGGAUAUCAGUGUAGCAGUACAGCCAACCUAGAGUAACCUGAAAUCGUUGCACCAGCCAAGUUCCAACACAGCCUUAUUAAAUUUGGUGAGAUAAACACACUUGGCAAUGUUGAUGCACUUUGUCUAAACGCAACAGGAAAGACGUAGCCAAAUUAAUUCCAGAUCGAUCCAUUCACAGCUGAAUAAAAUUGCUCGAGACGCUGCAUGGUGGGUAAACCAGCUCAGCCCACUAAUGCUGCAUCAUGCACUCAACUGCACAAUGAGGGAAAAAUCGAGAAACGGGUGCAUCAUACCAUUACGUUAUAACAGUGCAUUAGCGUGUAAAAUGUGUGCAGUUAAAAUUGUGCAAAUACUUCCAGGAAUUGUUCCUUGCUGGUUGCAUUACAUAUGUUUUAAAUACAGUCGAGAUCAAACACACAGAGAAGCAAGAGAAUGCAGUUAGGUGGGGAAAAUCGGGCUCUGACACUGUCCCCACUGAGCCAUACUCCUCAAUUAAUUAUUUUUAUUUUUUAAUCUCAAGUUUAUUACAAAACAAAGUUUAAGUUAAUUUUCAAGACAACAUGCUCAUCAUUUCUGUCUAUUUAGUUUUUUUUUUUUUUUUUAAAAAAAAGAAAGAAAAACAUGAGGACCCAGUGAGCCUGGUGUAAAAAUGUACCAUAAGACCGAAUUGUACUAAUUCCUGCGUUCCUGCUGCAACAGAACCGUGAUCAGUGUGAUACUGCAGAGUGGAAGGUUUGAAAGGGUCAGGGAUUCUGUUUGUGUGAUGACCGAUCCGUGUCCAUAUUACUAGCAUCAUUAUUAAUGUCACACUCCUUUUCAGCAAUGACAGCACAACCAGCCCAAAAGAAGAACCACAGAAAACCACUAAUCUACACAAUCUAUACGCAGUUUUUGAUUACUUAAUAUAAAGUAGAAAAUUUAAGCCAAACAAAUAAGAAACAGUGUGUGCACCUGUGUUCGAUUUUUCCCCCCCAGUCAUACACAGGUAAGUUUGGAAGCAGAUAAAGCCUGUGUGUGUGUGUGUGUGUGUGUGUAACACUAGGGUGCUCCACAUGAUGAUAAGUUGACACCAGUGUAAGGAAACGUGUGUACAUUUCAGCCGUGCAGUCACAGAGCUGAAACCACACUACUCCAAGCUAUUCUGUUAACAGCUCUUAGAUCAUCAACUGAAACCUCUGGACAGGGAAGAAUAUAUCGCAAGGGAACGCUGAGCAUGCGAUUAUUUUAACAAAAUAAGGACUUGAUUGAGUUUCUGGUGUAAAGUUGCACUCUCUCAACCACUCAAUCAGCCUCCGGAUGCCUUUACAAUUUUAUAUCCUGUUUCCCGUUUUUAUAAAUAUUCUCUAAACAUUCCUAACAGUGAUAAUCAGGGAAUUUCUACUAGCUGUGGUUUGAACUAUACAAUAAAAUUAGAAUAAUAAAUAUUUUUAAAGCCUGAA